GCCGGGGGGAGCGCUCGCCGCCUCGGGAGAGGGGCCACGGCGCGGGCGCCGCGGGCGCUGCCGGCGUUCCCCCGGAGCGGGAAACACCCCGCGCGGCUCCUCUGCGCCUCUUCUGAUCGUCCUACACGCGAAGACAGAAACCAACGCUGAACUCUACUUUUCUCCACGACCCUUCCCCCACCCGAGUUGUUCUCCGGUGCAUCCAGGAAAACCACAGAACAGGAAACAUGGCCAAACAUGGCUUUGAAUGAGGUGGAGGAGGUGAGGCACAAGAAACCACAAGAUCUAAAAAAUCCUCAUAAGCCAAAGGGCCACAAAUAAGAUUAGUGGUGAGAAGUUCAGUCUACACAGCAAAAGAAAUGGUAAAGUGAGCAUAAAGGACACAUUUGCAAAACAUAAAGAGGGCUACAUGACAGGAAAUUGCAGUGGCCUCCCGGAGUCAGAGUGGCUGCUAGAUGACAGCCAGCAUGAAAGAGGAACCUCACAACAAUAAUCAGGGAGCUUGGAAGAGGACCCUCAGCCUCCAAUGAGAUCAUAGGCCCUGCAGACACCUUGAUUUUAGCCUAAUGAGAUUCUGAGCAGAAGAUCUAGCUAACUAGCAUUUCGACUACUGCUUCGUGGAAACUGUAAGAUAAUAAAUUUGUUUUCUAAGA